GCCAGCAGUGCCUGUUGGAAAUGUUGGCCAGCUUGUAAUAGAUUGGAUUAUUUCUAUGCUGCAUAUGUGUAAGAUUGGUUACUUCUACACCACUUCUCUUGGGCAGAUGGUUGGAAACUGUCCAUAUGCAACUGCAGAAGUAAAUUCAAUAGAACUCAGUACAGAUGCUGAAGUAUAUUCAUUGCCUUCAAAAAAGCUGGUGGCUCUUCAGUUAAGAUCCAUUUUUAUUAAGUACAAAUCAAAGCCAUUCUGUGAAAAAGCUGCUUUCCUGGGUGAAAAGUAGUAACUGUGCCAAAGUUAUUGUUCUUUCAAGCAGUCAUUCAUAUCACUGUAAUGAUCUACAUUUCACAUUGGCAAGACUCCCUUCUGAUACCUGCUUACAUCUUUGGUGCAAAAAAAACUGUUCAAAAUAAAAUAGAGACCCUUAACUGGGAAGAAAUGGAAAAAAGCCCAUGCAUUCCUGAAAUAGAUGAUUUUGAGUUUUGUAUCUAUAUUCCUGGAGGAAGUAUCACAAAAAUACUCUAUACUGAAGGUUGUUUUAAAGAAAUCCCAGAUG
rnacentral:lncRNA from 1 species